UACGAAGGGGGCUAGCGUUGCUCGGAAUUACUGGGCGUAAAGGGCGCGUAGGCGGACAGUUUAGUCAGAGGUGAAAGCCCAGGGCUCAACCUUGGAAUUGCCUUUGAUACUGGCUGUCUUGAGUUCGGGAGAGGUGAGUGGAAUGCCGAGUGUAGAGGUGAAAUUCGUAGAUAUUCGGCGGAACACCUAUGGCGAAGGCAGCUCGCUGGGACGUUACUGACGCUGAGACGCGAAAGCGUGGGGAGCAAACAGG
rnacentral:rRNA from 1 species